rnacentral:tRNA from 1 species
GGUAAUGUAGCUCAGUUGGCUAGAGCGAUUCUCUCAUAAGGAAUAGGUCAACAGUUCGAUUCUGUUCAUUACCACCA